CCACAGAGCUUGAGGGUGGUCUCAGAUCCUGGUCAAGCCCCCAAAUCAAAGAUCCUUCCCCUCACAGUGGGGAGACUCUCACUCAAGUCUCAGGAUAUCAUGAUGCCCAAGAACUCGCAAGAGACG
rnacentral:pre_miRNA from 7 species